rfam:Triticum aestivum genome assembly, contig: Triticum_aestivum_CS42_TGACv1_scaffold_470864_6AL
AACCUACUCCCUCCGUUCGAAAAUACUCGUCAUUGAAAUGGAUGUAUCUAGAUGUAUUUUAGUUCUAGAUACAUCAAUUUUGGUGACAAGUAAUUCCGAACGGAGGGAGUAGUAA